GCGGGUAUGGUGGAACUGGCAGACACGCUAGACUUAGGAUCUAGUGCCUUCGGGCGUGGGGGUUCGACUCCCUUUACCCGCA
rnacentral:tRNA from 1 species